rnacentral:tRNA from 1 species
AAGGGCUUAGGAUACACCAGACCAAGGACCUUCAAAGCCCUAAGCAGAAGUGAAAAUCUUCUAGCCCUUG